CUCAAAUGGGCCGGGCCCAAAGUAUAAAAACCGGCAUGUUAAACGAGAAUUCAAAGCAAAAACCCUAAACCCUUUGCUCCACCCUGCGAUUUCAGCGGAUUCUUCUCUGUGUUUGGGGAAUUUGGAAGGAAGAAGAUGAAUCACAUAGCAGCAAUGGAAGAGCAAGUAGUUUCUGAGAGAAUGAGGCAAAAGCUUAACGAAGUGAACAUGGCUGCGCAAUCCCAUCUGGGUCCUAUUCAAGACCAUGUCAAUUUUUCCCUUCAGCAAGCGUAUUUCAAAUGUGCAUAUGAGUGUUUCGACAGAAGAAGAAGGCAGGAAGAGAUUAGUAACUGCGUUGAGAAUUGUAGUGUUCCAGUUGUUAAAGCUCAGCAACAUGUUGAGAAUGAAAUGGCUAAGUUUCAAGAAAGAUUGAACAGAUCACUAAUGGUGUGCCAAGACAAGUUCGAAGCAGCCAGGCUUCAGCAGAAAACUGGGAGUGUCUAUGAUUUGGAGUCGUGUGUGGAUGCAUCAAUACAAGAAAGCUUGAAUACGCUGCCACAUUUGGCUAAUAAAUUAAAAGCUUCCUUCAAUAUCAGCAAUUAAUCAAGUGAAAUAGAGAUCUGGGCUUCAUUUUGCUCCUUUCAAGAGGCAGUGGAGGAAUAUGGGUUCUUGUUGAAGUUCAUCCCUGACACUUGAGUUGCAUAAUAUUCUGACCCAUUUCCUGAUAUCAUAGGAUAAGAGAAUGACUUUGAGAUAUAAUACACUUGUUUAGAUGUCUGCUUCUGUUUUUUUAUAAAAAAUUAUGAGUGACUCCAAAUAUCAUGGUUGUAAUGUAAUGGAACAAAUUUAUAGUAUUAGUAAGAGUAUCAAACUUAUAUUCA